rnacentral:rRNA from 1 species
AGCGAACGCUGGCGGCAGGCCUAACACAUGCAAGUCGAACGAACCUUUCGGGGUUAGUGGCGGACGGGUGAGUAACACGUGGGAACGUGCCUUUAGGUUCGGAAUAACUCAGGGAAACUUGUUCUAAUACCGAAUGUGCCCUUCGGGGGAAAGAUUUAUCGCCUUUAGAGCGGCCCGCGUCUGAUUAGCUAGUUGGUUGAGGUAAUGGCUCACCAAGGCGACGAUCAGUAGCUGGUCUGAGAGGAUGAUCAGCCACAUUGGGACUGAGACACGGCCCAAACUCCUACGGGAGGCAGCAGUGGGGAAUCUUGCGCAAUGGGCGAAAGCCUGACGCAGCCAUGCCGCGUGAAUGAUGAAGGUCUUAGGAUUGUAAAAUUCUUUCACCGGGGACGAUAAUGACGGUACCCGGAGAAGAAGCCCCGGCUAACUUCGUG